AGGACGAACGCUGGCGGCGUGCUUAACACAUGCAAGUCGAGCGGAAAGGCCCUUCGGGGUACUCGAGCGGCGAACGGGUGAGUAACACGUGAGUAAUCUGCCCCUAGCUCUGGGAUAGCUCCGGGAAAACCGGGAUUAAUACCGGAUACGACCACUUUAGACAUCUGUUGUGGUGGAAAGAAUUUUGGCUAGGGAUGAGCUCGCGGCCUAUCAGCUUGUUGGUGGGGUAACGCCUACCAAGGCGACGACGGGUA
rnacentral:rRNA from 1 species